GACGGGGGGUGCAAGCGUUGUUCGGAAUCAUUGGGCGUAAAGCGCGUGCAGGUGGCUCUGCAAGUCAGAUGUGAAAGCCCCGGGCUUAACCCGGGAAGUGCAUUUGAAACUGCAAAGCUUGAGUAUGGAAGAGGGUCGUGGAAUUCCAGGUGUAGUGGUGAAAUACGUAGAUAUCUGGAGGAACACCGGUGGCGAAGGCGGCGACCUGGUCCAAUACUGACACUCAUACGCGAAAGCGUGGGGAUCAAACAGG
rnacentral:rRNA from 1 species